rnacentral:rRNA from 1 species
ACUCAGAUGAACGCUGGCGGCGUUCCUAAUACAUGCAAGUCGAGCGAACAGACGAGGAGCUUGCUCCUCUGACGUAGCGGCGGACGGGUGAGUAACACGUGGAUAACCUACCUAUAAGACUGGGAUAACUUCGGGAAACCGGAGCUAAUACCGGAUAAUAUAUUGAACCGCAUGGUUCAAUAGUGAAAGACGGUUUUGCUGUCACUUAUAGAUGGAUCCGCGCCGCAUUAGCUAGUUGGUAAGGUAACGGCUUACCAAGGCAACGAUGCGUAGCCGACCUGAGAGGGUGAUCGGCCACACUGGAACUGAGACACGGUCCAGACUCCUACGGGAGGCAGCAGUAGGGAAUCUUCCGCAAUGGGCGAAAGCCUGACGGAGCAACGCCGCGUGAGUGAUGAAGGUCUUCGGAUCGUAAAACUCUGUUAUUAGGGAAGAACAAAUGUGUAAGUAACUAUGCACGUCUUGACGGUACCUAAUCAGAAAGCCACGGCUAACUACGUGCCAGCAGCCGCGGUAAUACGUAGGUGGCAAGCGUUAUCCGGAAUUAUUGGGCGUAAAGCGCGCGUAGGCGGUUUUUUAAGUCUGAUGUGAAAGCCCACGGCUCAACCGUGGAGGGUCAUUGGAAACUGGAAAACUUGAGUGCAGAAGAGGAAAGUGGAAUUCCAUGUGUAGCGGUGAAAUGCGCAGAGAUAUGGAGGAACACCAGUGGCGAAGGCGACUUUCUGGUCUGUAACUGACGCUGAUGUGCGAAAGCGUGGGGAUCAAACAGGAUUAGAUACCCUGGUAGUCCACGCCGUAAACGAUGAGUGCUAAGUGUUAGGGGGUUUCCGCCCCUUAGUGCUGCAGCUAACGCAUUAAGCACUCCGCCUGGGAGACGCCUAGUGG